GAAUCUUGCGCAAUGGGCGAAAGCCUGACGCAGCCAUGCCGCGUGAAUGAUGAAGGUCUUAGGAUUGUAAAAUUCUUUCACCGGGGACGAUAAUGACGGUACCCGGAGAAGAAGCCCCGGCUAACUUCGUGACAGCAGCCGCGGGAAUACGAAGGGGGCUAGCGUUGCUCGGAACUACGGGGCGUAAAGGGCGCGUAGUCGGAUCGUUAAGUCAGAGGUGAAAUCCCAGGGCUCAACCCUGGAACUGCCUUUGAUACUUGCUAUCUUGCGUCUGCUAGAGGUCUGUUUCCCUCCGAGUUUAGAGGUGAAAUUCGUAGAUAUUCGGAAGAACACCAGUGGCGAAGGCGACAUACUGGCUCAUUACUGACGCUGAGGCGCGAAAGCGUGGGGAGCAAACA
rnacentral:rRNA from 1 species